CAUAAUCAUUUGUCCACUAAUUAUGGACUAGUAUGAAAGGCAAAAUGAGGGUUCAACUGUCUCUUAUAGUAAGUCAAUUAAACUGAUCUACCAGUAAAAAAGCUGGUAUAAAUACACAAGACCAGAAGACCCUGUGAAGCUUAAACUAAACUAUUAAACUACAUAAUAACUACUUUCGGUUGGGGCGACCUUGGAAAAAAAAGAACUUCCAAAUUAAUGAUAAUUUAUCAUCCUCAGGCCAACAAGCCACAUAUGACCCAGUACACCUGAUAACUGAACCAAGUUACUCCAGGGAUAACAGCGCCAUCUUCUUCAAGAGUCCAUAUCAAAAAGAAGGUUUACGACCUCGAUGUUGGAUCAGGACAUCCCAA
rnacentral:rRNA from 1 species